AGUGAAAAAAAAGUAAUGGUAUUCUUUUUUAUUCGUAACUUGUACGUGGAAAAUCUUAUAUUCGAUUAUCAUUACAUUCGAAUUUGAAUUAUAUUACAUCUAGCCAUUAUUAUUAUUAUCAAAACAUGUUCUGUCUCAUCUCACAUAUCAAAUGUACUUUUGAUGAUAGAUAAUAUCAUUUAUUUCCCAAAAAAAAAAAAAAAAAAAAAAAGAAUUAAGAUGUAAAAAGUGGGAGAAACCCAUUAUCUCUCCUCCUCCCGUAUCCUCUCUCCUUCUUCUCUUUUGCGCUGCAACAGGAGCCCCAUUUAACAGCAAGCCGACGACUGCCGAGUGCCGACGCAACAGCUCUGUCGUCCACGGGUCACCAAAGGCUCUCAAACUACACAUCCAGAAUGCUCUUGCCGUCCUUUAUCCAAUCCCCAAGUUAGUUUCUAUAAAUUCGUAGGCGAUUUUCCUCAACUUCAAAUUUAAGAAACGGUGACCCAGUGUUUUCCGGCCAACUUCAGGCCAAUAUCGCCGGAAUUUGACCUUGACCCAAGAGGUAGAAAUGAUCCUCUUCUCGUGGGCUGUUCUCCAAUUUGUUGAAAUCCCUAACGAUUACGUUCCCGGUUGAUAGUUGAAGCAUGUCUAUAGCAUGAUGUGGGAUUGAACUCUUUUGCGUAGGAAUUAUAAAAUUCAUGGAAAGAAUGUGAAAAUGUGGCACGAAAUUAGAAAAUGGGGGCCAAAAUCAUGUUAUGAUGAAGGCAAUAGCUUAGCCUGAUUCCUUGUUUAUUGUAGUUGUAUUCAACAGCUUGCUUUGGUUUUGAAUUGCCUGCUGUCCAGUAGAUGUUUAAGACUUAAUGUGGAGGAAAUUCUCUCUUGAAGUUGCUUGAACUUACCUAUUUGGUAGACAAGGCUACUCAAGGGAGAGCUAGCCUGAGGUGUGAGUCGACAUUUAUUUAAGAAAUGUUUUUUCUUUAUCAAAUAUUAAGCAUGCCUAGAUAAAUAUGAUUUCCGUUACGUUUAGGGGAAAACCAGAUUUUAUGAAUUAAUAGCGGAUCUCGUAGUGUAUGUUCAUAUUAUUCAGCUUUCAUUAGUUACGGCUAGCUAGUGUAUCAUAAUAUUGUUCAACUUAUAUGUAAUGUAAGUGAUCAACAUUACAGCAUAUUCAGCUUUCCAUUCUACAGACAUGUCAUUUCAACUUACACAUGUAUGGUAUCACGGAAUUUUUAGCAUUAUGAAUUGAAAUGCAAAUAUUGGUAGCUAGAGACAACAUUUCCAAAUUAUCAUUAUAAAUGGCAAUACAAGAACUCGAGCACAAAUAAGCAAAACACAAAUGAUGCAAAUUUAGAAACAAACAGUAAUAAUCGCAAUCGAAAUUUAUGGUACAUAAAAUAAGCAACAUAAAUAGUAUUUUUGGAAUGAAAUUCUGGUGCAACAAAUGUCCUUUUAUUGGUUUGUACAUAUGAUAUAGUAAACGAAUUGCGGUAGCCACAACGUUCUUUAAACUCUUUUCCUGCAUGCAUUGGAGAAUAUUAGAAAUCACUGAAAUUGGAAUAAGUUGAAACGCUUAUGCUUAUUGUAUAUGUGUUUCCAAAAAUAGCGGGUUAAGGACUCAAUUAAUUUUUAAGCCACUUAGCACUACGGUUAUGUUUAUUGUAUAUGUGUUUCUGAUAAAGGUUUCUCUUGAGGCAGUUGGUAAUCUGAAAUGCUUCUUCCUCACACCUUAACUGCUAUUAGCUACCUCGGAAAAAUGAAUCAGGUAGCAGAUUGUGGUUUUAGAUCCAAACUGUUCAAUUUUUCAAGUGCUAUACAUGUAUGUAUAUAUUAUAUAAAACAUGGUAGAAUAUUUUUUGAGUGCUAUAUAGAUAAGUUGGAGAUGGAAACAUGCUAACCUUUGUGCUUGAUCAAUCAAUUGUGUUCGUCCUU